rnacentral:rRNA from 1 species
UGAGGAAUAUUGGACAAUGGGCGCAAGCCUGAUCCAGCCAUGCCGCGUGCAGGAAGAAGCGUCUAUGGUGUGUAAACUGCUUUUGUACGGGAAGAAACACUCCUACGUGUAGGAGCUUGACGGUACCGUAAGAAUAAGGAUCGGCUAACUCCGUGCCAGCAGCCGCGGUAAUACGGAGGAUCCAAGCGUUAUCCGGAAUCAUUGGGUUUAAAGGGUCCGUAGGCGGUUUAAUAAGUCAGUGGUGAAAGCCCAUCGCUCAACGAUGGAACGGCCAUUGAUACUGCUAGACUUGAAUUACAAGGAAGUAACUAGAAUAUGUAGUGUAGCGGUGAAAUGCUUAGAUAUUACAUGGAAUACCAAUUGCGAAGGCAGGUUACUACUUGUGGAUUGACGCUGAUGGACGAAAGCGUGGGGAGCAAACA